rnacentral:lncRNA from 1 species
UAAUUACCACAACUUGUCUUGGUUUGGAGACAAAUGACAAUGGAAUGUUUAACUUUGGGAACUUUUAUGAAGGAACCUAUGUGUUACUUGUCUGCUCCAUCAUCCAAGACUUGAUCCUGUCACAUGACCCUCAGCCUCAAGGUUCUCUCCUGAUGCAGCCACCAGGUCCACACGUUACAUCCAUAGACGGGCGGGCGCAGGGGGUACGGAAAGGAGCUGUGGCAAUAUGAUGAGCAGAAAUCGAAGAGUGACCCCUGGGUUCCUUCUCAGGCAGGCACUUUUGAGACCGCAGACAGACCCUUGCUAUCUGCAUGAGAAAGGACUGCUUAGACUGAGGAUGCAGAAAUAAAGACUACCCAGAGGUGGCGCUGUGGUUAAAGUACACCUGGAUUCUCAUCACAGCGAAUGGAUUCACUUCCUAUCUAUUUUUCAGAGAAGAUGGUAGCCCCUACCACGUUUGCAUUUCUACAACCACAAUAACCAGUAAAUAAAGCCUUCUGGUCAC